rnacentral:rRNA from 1 species
CCCUUAGAUGUUCUGGGCCGCACGCGCGCUACACUGAUGCAUUCAACGAGCCUAUCCUUGACCGACAGGUCCCGGUAAUCUUUGAAUCUGCAUCGUGACGGGGAUAGAUUAUUGCAAUUAUUAAUCUUCAACGAGGAAUGCCUAGUAGGCGCAAGUCAUCAGCUUGCGUCGAUUACGUCCCUGCCCUUUGUACACACCGCCCGUCGCUCCUACCGAUUGGGUGUGCUGGUGAAAUGUUCGGAUCGGCCGUUUGUCGCGGUUUCCGCGUCAAGUGGCUGAGAAGUUCAUUAAACCCUCCCACCUAGAGGAAGGAGAAGUCGUAACA